rnacentral:rRNA from 1 species
CCUACGGGAGGCUGCAGUGGGGAAUAUUGCACAAUGGGGGAAACCCUGAUGGUGCGACGCCGCGUGGGGGAAUGAAGGUCUUCGGAUUGUAAACCCCUGUCAUGUGGGAGCAAAUUAAAAAGAUAGUACCACAAGAGGAAGAGACGGCUAACUCUGUGCCAGCAGCCGCGGUAAUACAGAGGUCUCAAGCGUUGUUCGGAAUCACUGGGCGUAAAGCGUGCGUAGGCUGUUUCGUAAGUCGUGUGUGAAAGGCGCGGGCUCAACCCGCGGACGGCACAUGAUACUGCGAGACUAGAGUAAGGGAGGGGGAACCGGAAUUCUCGGUGUAGCAGUGAAAUGCGUAGAUAUCGAGAGGAACACUCGUGGCGAAGGCGGGUUCCUGGACAUUAACUGACGCUGAGGCACGAAGGCCAGGGGAGCGAAAGGGAUUAGAUACCCUUGUAGUC